AACGAACGCUGGCGGCAAGCCUAACACAUGCAAGUCGAACGAGACCUUCGGGUCUAGUGGCGCACGGGUGCGUAACGCGUGGGAACCUGCCCUUAGGUUCGGAAUAACUCCCCGAAAGGGGUGCUAAUACCGGAUAAUGUCUUCGGACCAAAGAUUUAUCGCCUUUGGAUGGGCCCGCGUUGGAUUAGCUAGUUGGUAGGGUAAAAGCCUACCAAGGCGACGAUCCAUAGCUGGUCUGAGAGGAUGAUCAGCCACACUGGGACUGAGACACGGCCCAGACUCCUACGGGAGGCAGCAGUGGGGAAUAUUGGACAAUGGGCGAAAGCCUGAUCCAGCAAUGCCGCGUGAGUGAUGAAGGCCUUAGGGUUGUAAAGCUCUUUUACCCGGGAUGAUAAUGACAGUACCGGGAGAAUAAGCUCCGGCUAACUCCGUG
rnacentral:rRNA from 1 species